rnacentral:rRNA from 1 species
UAGGGAAUCUUCGGCAAUGGACGAAAGUCUGACCGAGCAACGCCGCGUGAGUGAAGAAGGUUUUCGGAUCGUAAAACUCUGUUGUUAGAGAAGAACAAGGACGUUAGUAACUGAACGUCCCCUGUCGGUAUCUAACCAGAAAGCCACGGCUAACUACGUGCCAGCAGCCGCGGUAAUACGUAGGUGGCAAGCGUUGUCCGGAUUUAUUGGGCGUAAAGCGAGCGCAGGCGGUUUCUUAAGUCUGAUGUGAAAGCCCCCGGCUCAACCGGGGAGGGUCAUUGGAAACUGGGAGACUUGAGUGCAGAAGAGGAGAGUGGAAUUCCAUGUGUAGCGGUGAAAUGCGUAGAUAUAUGGAGGAACACCAGUGGCGAAGGCGGCUCUCUGGUCUGUAACUGACGCUGAGGCUCGAAAGCGUGGGGAGCAAACAGG